rnacentral:rRNA from 1 species
UACGUAGGGUGCAAGCGUUGUCCGGAAUUAUUGGGCGUAAAGAGCUCGUAGGCGGUCUGUCGCGUCUGCUGUGAAAACUCAGGGCUUAACCCUGAGCUUGCAGUGGGUACGGGCAGACUAGAGUGCGGUAGGGGAGACUGGAAUUCCUGGUGUAGCGGUGAAAUGCGCAGAUAUCAGGAGGAACACCGGUGGCGAAGGCGGGUCUCUGGGUAGUAACUGACGC